ACACACCGCCCGUCACACCAUGAGAGUCGGGAACACCCGAAGUCCGUAGCCUAACCGCAAGGGGGCGCGGCCGAAGGUGGGUUCGAUAAUUGGGGUGAAGUCGUAACAAGGUAUC
rnacentral:rRNA from 1 species